UCAAUCUCGUGCGGCUAUAUAUACCGCCGGUCCCUCUAAGAAGAUUUUCAUUGUACGCCGGUAGUGAAGACCGCGAGACGCACGCACGCGACGCAAGCGCCGCGGAACGCGCGCACGCGGACCCUCGUGAUACCGGUUGCACGUCUAUUUAAUAGGCUAGAGUUACGUUCGUUAC
rnacentral:rRNA from 1 species